UUCGCAAUGCCCGAAAGGGUGACGAAGCGACGCCGCGUGCGGGAAGAUGGCCUUCGGGUUGUAAACCGCUGUCGGGAGUUAAGAAAUGCAAGGAUAUUAAUAGUGUCUUUGCUUGACUAAGGCUCCGGAGGAAGCCACGGCUAACUCUGUGCCAGCAGCCGCGGUAAUACAGAGGUGGCAAGCGUUGUUCGGUAUUAUUGGGCGUAAAGAGCACGUAGGUGGUUUUGUAAGUCAGAUAUGAAAGCCUUCUGUUCAAAGGAAGAACGGCAUCUGAAACUGCGAAUCUUGAGUGUAGGAGGGGAGAGUGGAACUUCUGGUGGAGCGGUGAAAUGCGUAGAUAUCAGAAGGAACGUCGGCGGCGAAAGCGACUCUCUGGCCUAUUACUGACACUGAGUGUGCGAAAGUUAGGGGAGCAAACGGGAUUAGAUACCCCGGUAGUCCUAACUGUAAACGAUGGGCACUAAGUAGAGGGGUUUU
rnacentral:rRNA from 1 species